rnacentral:rRNA from 1 species
CGUGAGUAACCUGCCCCUGAUUUCGGGAUAAUCCUGGGAAACUGGGUCUAAGACCGGAUACGACCAAUCCUCGCAUGAGGGUUGGUGGAAAGUUUUUCGAUCGGGGAUGGGCUCGCGGCCUAUCAGCUUGUUGGUGGGGUAAUGGCCCACCAAGGCGACGACGGGUAGCCGGCCUGAGAGGGCGACCGGCCACACUGGGACUGAGACACGGCCCAGACUCCUACGGGAGGCAGCAGUGGGGAAUAUUGCACAGUGGGGGAAACCCUGAUGCAGCGACGCAGCGUGCGGGAUGACGGCCUUCGGGUUGUAAACCGCUUUCAGCAGGGAAGAAGCGAAAGUGACGGUACCUGCAGAAAAAGUACCGGCUAACUACGUGCCAGCAGCCGCGGUAAUACGUAGGGUACGAGCGUUGUCCGGAAUUAUUGGGCGUAAAGAGCUCGUAGGUGGUUGGUCACGUCUGCUGUGGAAACGCAACGCUUAACGUUGCGCGUGCAGUGGGUACGGGCUGACUAGAGUGCAGUAGGGGAGUCUGGAAUUCCUGGUGUAGCGGUGAAAUGCGCAUAUAUCAUGAGGAACACCGGUGGCAAAGGCGGAACUCUGGGCUGUAACUGACACUGAUGAGCGAAAGCGUGGGGAGCGAACAAGAUUAUAUACCCUGGUAGUCCAUGCCGUAAACAUUGGGCACUAAGUGUGGGGGACAUUCCACGUUCUCCGCGCCGUAUCUCACGCAUUAAG